GGGGAAGUCCUGGCUUCGAUUGGAGUGUUUCGGUUUUAGUUGCAUGUCGGUAUGAGCAUAUCGUUAAAAGGCUCAAAAAUGUUUAAAUGCAAACAAUACAAAUUACGCACCUCAAAGGGUAGCAGCUUAAUUGCUCUACCCCCGCUCUCUGAAUAGAGGCGGGUGUUGCUUCACCUACAGAUUAUUCUGUUAGAGUAGGAUUCGAAGUAUAACAAACAAACAGAUAUAUCUUAAUUAUUAUCUUUUAAGUUAAGACUAACGCAUAAAAGACAGUUUUAUUAAAGUUUAAUUGUACUUUUCUAAAAUUAAAUCGAACAAUUAAAAAAGCAUGUAUAGAUACUAAGGUCAAGCAUUUUAAGACACGGGUUCGACUCCCGUCUUCUCCACCA
rnacentral:tmRNA from 1 species